CUUUCAGGCAAUUCUAAAACACAGAGCUGGGAAGAACUGCUCAGAGUUAGCUAACGGUGGCUAAACUAUGCUGGACUAGCAUGGAAGAGCAAUAGCAUUGCCUGGGAAGGCAACUUCUUAUCUGACCUUCCUAACAGAGGAAAGGAGUUGGUGGCAAAGAGAGAAAUGGACAUGGUAGAAAAAAGGAAUGCAAAAAAGGGCCCAAUGGUGACACAGACGAUAACCCCCUGGAAGAUGGGAAGAACGGGGGGAAUGUCUAUGGUGAUGGAAAGGGAUUUGGAGCAAAGGAAACAGUAAAGGCACUGCCUACAGGACUGCAAGAGAAUCAGGAAAGCACAGAGGAACAAGAGGAAGUGGAAGAAGACUGAAUGACCAUAUGCACUGAAAACAGCACAGAAACUCAGAGGAAUAGAACACAGACUUGACUCUAUGACAUAGCAGAGAGAAGGCUAUGGUGAAGGAGGACCUUGGUGAAGGAGGAGGCGGUCAGGACAUUGGUGAAGGGAGGACUGCAUCUCAUUUACUUAGUUACAAAGAAUGAAGACUUGAGUUUGGAGGAGAGCCGAUUUUCUUUAUAUAAAAAAAAAAGUUAGUUGCUUCAGGCAACAGUCCUUUUGAUCCACUCAUUAACACUUUUCAAAUGUUCCAGUGAUGUGGGCAUUAGGAAAUGUCAGCACUAGAGCCUGAAGCCAGUUUGAUACAAUCAUAUGUUCUGAUAUUCAAGGAGGAGUGAAAGAACUGUCAACAGUGAACU